rfam:Capsella rubella cultivar Monte Gargano unplaced genomic scaffold scaffold_6, whole genome shotgun sequence.
GAAUAUGAGGAACAUAUAACUCAACCGUGAUAAAAUUAUGAUCCAAUUUUUUGCUUAUUGAUAUUCUGAUUCCA